CUUUUCAUAAUGGGAGAGAUCCACAAAAUUAUUUUUUGAUGUCUAAGGUCCCUAAACAUAUCACAGAGAAAUUUGACCUUACCAAAUCAAAACUCAUCUCUCACUUUCUCUCUCUAAACUUCUCCAUUCUCAUACCUGUCCAGAUCAACUCUUGUGUCCUCAGCUCUGACUUCAUUCUCCAACCGAUUGAACUCCACCUUCACCGGAUCCGACCUUCAAUGGCGUCGCCGAGCCGUCUGAGGAGCGGCGAUCCAGAGGCGUUGAUAUUGGACACUGGUGGUGUUGUUGUUGCUGCAGAUCUGCAAACUACACUGCAUUGUGCCCCAACGUAUAUAGAUCACAAAGGCACAUCUUCACCCAUAGUUUGGCAGCUAAGAUUUACAGAUAGAUGGAGAUUUGUCAGGCUAUGAAGUGUUCAAUCAUUCUUGUAAACUAAUGUCGGGUAUUCUGGAGCCCAUCCACCCAUUCUUGUUUCCGACAAGUCGUCCUCUGCUUUCUCUGAUUCAUACCAUUGAUUUGAGCUCCAAAACCAAAUCAAUCUCUCUCUAUCAGUACUCAAUCAUCAACCCAUUGGAGCAACCAAGAAUCAGCUAUUAUCACUGUUUCAGAGAGAGAGAGAAAAAGAGUUUGGUUAGUUUAAUCCAAUGGCUGCUCGUUACUGUGGGAAGAAGAAAUCUGAGUGUGUUUUCAGGUUUUUCAAUCCCGGUGUGCUUUCUAUUUUGAUUUUUUUAAAAGUGUGCACACAAACUGAUUCUUAUAUAUACAUCCAACCUAGAGAAAAUUCAAAUUUCUCUGGGUUCAACGCAGAGAAAAUUCAGCAUCAUCAUACAAGCCUUGAGCCUUUGUAUUUUCCCAUCCUGCCAUAAAACAUCAAUAUCAGUUCCAGAGAAAUUCAAAAUUUCUUUGGAGAUAAAUUCA